rnacentral:rRNA from 1 species
CGCGGUAUUUUGACCGUGCAAAGGUAGCAUAAUCACUAGUCUUUUAAUUGAAGGCUCGAAUGAACGGUUGGACGAAAAGUUAACUGUCUUUAUUGAAGAGGUAGAAUUUAACUUUUAGGUGAGAGGGCUUAAAUAUUUUAAGGGGACGAUAAGACCCUAUAAAGUUUAACAACUGAGGUUUAAUUGGGGGGGUUGAGGAUAAAUUGAGUUCACCAUUAGAAAAUGAGUUGUUUUGUUGGGGCGACAGAAAUAAAAAGGAGUUAACUGUUCUUUUCUUAGGUUUCAGUGAUGUUUGAAGAUUUGUGAUCCUUGAUGGAAAUUGAAGAGUAAAUUACUUUAGGGAUAACAGCGUAAUUUUUUUUGAGAGUUCUUAUCGACAGAAAAGUUUGCGACCUCGAUGUUGAAUUAAGAAGUUCCUUAUAGAGUAGAAGCUAUAAGAGGAAGGUCUGUUCGA